CCCUUAGAUGUUCUGGGCCGCACGCGCGCUACACUGACGAAGUCAGCGAGCAUGUCCUACGCCGACAGGUGCGGGGAAUCUUGUCAAACUUCGUCGUGAUGGGGAUUGAUUAUUGAAAUUCUUGAUCAUCAACGAGGAAUUCCUAGUAAGCGCAAGUCAGCAGCUUGCGUUGAUUACGUCCCUGCCCUUUGUACACACCGCCCGUCGCUACUACCGAUUGAAUGGUUUAGUGAGAUCUUCGGAUUGGCGCCACUGCGGCUCAGCAAUGGGCUCGGUGGAUGCCGAAAAGUUGAUCAUACUUGAUCAUUUAGAGGAAGUAAAAGUCGUAACA
rnacentral:rRNA from 1 species